CAAUAGCGUAUAUUAAAGUUGUUGCAGUUAAAAAGCUCGUAGUUGGAUUUCUGGGAGGGUGCUAAUGUCCGCCGUAGCGCGUGUGCAGCCGCGCCCUUCCAUCCUUCUGUUAACGCCUCUUGGCAUUCAUUUGCUGGUGGCGGGCUCAGAUAUUUUACCUUGAGAAAAUUAGAGUGUUCAAAGCAGGCUUUUGCUGUGAAUACAUUAGCAUGGAAUAAUAAUCUAGGACUUCGGUUUUAUUUUGUUGGUUUCUAAAAUUAGAAGUAAUGAUUGAUAGGGAUAGUUGGGGGUGGCUAGUAUUGGCCGGCCAGAGGUGAAAUUCUUGGAUUCGGUCAAGACUAACUUAUGCGAAAGCAUUCACCAAGGAUGUCUUCUUUAAUCAAGAACGAAAGUUGGGGGAUCGAAGACGAUUAGAUACCAU
rnacentral:rRNA from 1 species